rnacentral:lncRNA from 1 species
GGCUAUUAAUCACAAAGGAGUCAACUCAUGAAAUGUUGGAGUCGACUUUUGAUACUGACAAGUCGACUCCUGAAAUCCUUGGUCAACUUCUGAAACUAAUGAGUCGACUCCUAAAAUUCUAGGAUCGACUCCUGAAGACCUGGACUCAUUUCGUCUAGCUCACUGUCUGAUUUGUGAAAUCUACAGUUUUGAUUGUCCUCUAUCU